GAAGAGGAUAAAUAGCGCAGACUGACUCGAGUUCACACAUCUUUCACUGGUUUGCCAACUGAUAUAACACGCCUAACGAAGACGGACAUUGUGAUCUGAUCAUCUCUGAUUAUCUCGGAUUGACGCUCCUGUAGCAGGCGGGAUUGAGGACGCCCUCCUCCGAACACGGCGAGGACAGGAACAGAGAUGAAGUCUUUCACAGCAAGUACAUCAUCAUCAUCAUCUCAGGACCAUCAGGCCGUUGGGUCCAUAUCCUUUACAUCCUGAUAAAAACAAGAAAAGAAUGAAAAAGCA